UGUGAAACGACAGCCUGGUGUUUACACCCAUCACCCUUGACUGCCAUGAAGAUAAUAUUCUGCAAUUACUGUAUUGUGGUUUGUAAUGUUCUACAUAGCAAUUAGUGUACUCCAUGUUGCAUAAUGGUCUGCUUGUGCAAGAUGUCCCAUAACUAAGCUUGUUUGUCUACUAAGUCAAUCAUAAAUGUACAAACCAUGUUUAUUCUUUUCUAAAAUAUUUUAAACAGGAAGUAUUCUACUUACAGGAGUUGCACAGGAACUAGUAACACAGGAUGUCUUACAGAAGGCCCUGUAACACAGGAAGUCCUAGUGUAACACAAGAAAUAUUACAAGAGGCCCUGUUGUCUCACCUCCAAAAGAGGUCUGGUUGUUGGAAAUGUGAAAUGGGGUCUUUUCUGGGCAGUACCUGGUUGUAGAAUUCCUUCCCAAAGGAGGUGAAAGUAUCAGGGAUGCAGGUGGCGCUGUGGUCUAAACCACUGAGCCACUUGGGCUUGCUGAUCAGAAGGUUGGCGGUUUGAAUUCCCCACAACUGGGUGAGCUCAGGGUCCCAGCUCCUGCCAACCUAGCAGUUCGAAAGCACACCAGUGCAAGUAGAUAAGUACCGGUAUGUAUCGCUGCGGCAGGAAGGUAAACUGUGUUUCAUGCUGGCCACAUGACCCAGAAAGUUGUCUUGUUUGUGGACAAACGCCAGCUCUCUUGGCCUGAAAGCAAUAUGAGCGUUCCAUAGUCGCCUUUGACUGCACUUAACCUUUCAGGGGUCCUUUACCUUUACCUUUUCCCCUGGUUAUGGAAUUUCUUUCCCAAAGGAGGUGAAAGUAUCAGUGGGCAAUGAAAACAUUCUUAUUUCACAAGGCUUUUAGUGGUUUUUAAUACAGUGGUACCUCGGGUUAAGUGCUUAAUUCGUUCCGGAGGUCCAUUCUUAACCUGAAACUGUUCUUAACCUGAAGCACCACUUUAGCUAAUGGGGCCUCCUGCUGCUGCCACGCCGCCGGAGCACGAUUUCUGUUCUCAUCCUGAAGCAAAGUUCUUAACCUGAAGCACUAUUUCUGGGUUAGUGGAGUCUGUAACCUGAAGCAUAUGUAACCUGAAGUGUAUGUAACCCGAGGUACCAUUGUACAGUAUUCAAUUGAAGGUUUUAUUACUGUUGCUUUUGAGGCUUUUAUUGGUUACAUUGUGAUUUUUGCUAUUUUAUGUGAAUGGCUUUGUGGGUCCUUAUUACAGAUUAAAUAAUUUACAGUAUAAUCUUAUGCAUUUUUUUGUCAAAAGUACAUCUCACUAUGUUCAGUAGGGCUUCUGCUCAGGAAAGUGGGCACUGCAAACCCCAUCAUCUCUGACCAUUGGCCAUGCUGACUGAGACUAUUGGGAGUUCUAGUUCAAUAUCUGGAGGGACACAGGUCAGCCUCUCCCAGCUUAAUGCCCUCCAGAUGUUUUGGACUACAAUUCUCACAUCAUCUUUGACCAUUGGCCAUAGCUACCUAAAGGGAGUUACAACGUAAGAAUUGAUUGAAAUUUUCAUUCUUAAUCAUAAAACUUAGGGAAUAAGAAA